ACUACGGGUGGCAGCAGUGAGGAAUAUUGGUCAAUGGGCGGGAGCCUGAACCAGCCAAGUCGCGUGAGGGAAGAAGGUACUGAGUAUUGUAAACCUCUUUUGCCAGGGGACAAAGGCGGCCACGGGUGGCCGUAAGAGGGUACCUGGAGAAAAAGCAUCGGCUAACUCCGUGCCAGCAGCCGCGGUAAUACGGAGGAUGCGAGCGUUAUCCGGAUUUAUUGGGUUUAAAGGGUGCGCAGGCGGCUUGUCAAGUCAGCGGUAAAAGGUCGGGGCUCAACCCCGGCCGGCCGUUGAAACUGUCGUGCUGGAGUUGGAGAGAAGCAUGCGGAAUUCGUGGUGUAGCGGUGGAAUGCGUAGAUAUCAGGAAGAACCCCGAUGGCGAAGGCAGCAUGCCGGCUCCAAACUGACGCUGAGGCACGAAAGCGUGGGUAUCGAACAGGAUUAGAUACCCGAGUAGUC
rnacentral:rRNA from 1 species